rnacentral:rRNA from 1 species
UACGUAGGGGGCGAGCGUUGUCCGAAUUUACUGGGCGUAAAGCGCGCGUAGGCGGACCUUUAAGUCAGAGGUGAAAUGCCGGAGCUCAACUCCGGAACUGCCUUUGAAACUGGGGGUCUUGAGGUAUGGAGAGGGAAGUGGAAUUCCUGGUGUAGCGGUGAAAUGCGUAGAUAUCAGGAGGAACACCUGUGGCGAAAGCGGCUCACUGGACCAUAACUGACGCUGAUGCACGAAAGCUAGGGGAGCAAACAGG